GGUGGGGUGUCUGAGCGGUUUAAAGAGACGGUCUUGAAAACCGUUGCGCCUACAGCGCCGUGGGUUCGAAUCCCACCCCCACCG
rnacentral:tRNA from 1 species